UGGCGAAUGGGUGAGUAACACGUGAGUAACCUGCCCUUGACUUUGGGAUAACUUCAGGAAACUGGGGCUAAUACCGGAUAGGAGCUCCUGCUGCAUGGUGGGGGUUGGAAAGUUUCGGCGGUUGGGGAUGGACUCGCGGCUUAUCAGCUUGUUGGUGGGGUAGUGGCUUACCAAGGCUUUGACGGGUAGCCGGCCUGAGAGGGUGACCGGCCACAUUGGGACUGAGAUACGGCCCAG
rnacentral:rRNA from 2 species